rnacentral:rRNA from 1 species
CCUACGGGUGGCAGCAGUGAGGAAUAUUGGUCAAUGGACGAGAGUCUGAACCAGCCAAGUAGCGUGAAGGAUGACUGCCCUAUGGGUUGUAAACCUCUUUUAUAUGGGAAUAAUAUGUUCCACGUGUGGGAUGUUGUAUGUACCAUAUGAAUAAGCAUCGGCUAACUCCGUGCCAGCAGCCGCGGUAAUACGGAGGAUACGAGUGUUAUCCGGAUUUAUUGGGUUUAAAGGGUGCGUAGGUGGAUUUUUAAGUUGGUUGUUAAAGUUUGGGGCUCAACCGUCAAAUUGCCGUUGAAACUGGCAGACUUGAGUACAGUAGAGGUGGGCGGAAUUCGUGGAGUAGCGGUGAAAUGCUUAGAUAUCACGAAGAACUCCGAUUGCGAAGGCAGCUCACUAGACUGCAACUGACACUGAGGCUCGAGAGUGUGGGUAUCAAACAGGAUUAGAUACCCCUGUAGUC